UGCCCAGCAACUCCUAUCCCUACCUCCUCGUGGUACUGGCCGGGGUACGAGUAACCUUGGGGAAGAUCGGGUAACCAACCCCCGGUGGGUCGUAUGCUGACAGGGAAGG
rfam:Aedes aegypti strain Liverpool supercont1.114 genomic scaffold, whole genome shotgun sequence.